rnacentral:lncRNA from 1 species
CAAGCUUAUUAUGGCUUCCCCAAGUUUUGUAAGGGAGGACGAAGUCCCUAUGAGUUUUUUUGUUUUCCAUCAAUGCUACUUUAGCAAUCAGGAUCCGGGUUGCAUUUCUCUUUCUUAUGCUCAGUCAUACACACCAAACUUAUCAUAUUGGACUCCAAGAACACUACACAAGCUUUUUAUGGCUUUCCCAAGUUUUGUAAGGGAGGACGAAGUCCCUAUGAGUUUUUUUGUUUUGCAUCUAUGCUACUUUAGCAGCUAGGUUCCAGGUUGCAUUUGUCUUUCUUAUACUCAGUCAUACACACCAAUCUUGUCAUAUUCGACUCCAAAAACCCUAAACAAGCUUAUUAUGGCUUCCCCAAGUUUUGUAAG